ACUUUGCACACUUCUGCUCCCACUCCAUUCACAAGAAUCUGACCACAUGGCCACGUGAGCUUCAAGGGAGGCUGGAAGUGUGGCCUCCGGCCGAGUAGCCAGUUCCCUGCCAGCACCUGUGCAGUGGAGGCAGAGGGGACACUCUUAUUAAAAAGGAAAAGGAAAGGACGGAUGAGCUUGGACCAUGAGCAGUCUGCCAGACCCAGGACAAGAGUCCAUACUUGAAUCCAUGAUCCUGAUGAGGAAUGAAUUCCACUGUCGUGCUACUUUCUGGGCAGUCCUUUCUGGAGCUGGACAACACAGCUCUGAGGUGGCGGCUCUGGAUGCUGAGAAUCAGAAGCAGCAGGGAAGAAUAUAAAUUUGGACUGAAUGAACACUAUGAGGAAGGAUGUAUAUGAGGUCUGUCCAGAAAGUAUCUCACCAGGUGCUAUGCAGAAUAGAGACAUUUACUGAAGAAGAUACAGGAUACAAGAAACAUUGUACACAGGACAAUGACAACUUAGCCCCCUUCAUGCAGUGAGCCUGUGGCGGGCAUUUCAUAAAUUAUUACCUCAGUCCUCUGCCAUGACUUCUUGGACAUGAGGUGGGCAACUCGCCCACAUCGAGUGGAUGGAAGAUCCUCUAGCAACUGGAAAUGGAACCAAGAAAAAGGGAGCAUGACUUUAUCUACAUGACCAGACCUGUGCAAUGGACGUGUUCCAGUCACCAAAUGAAUCAAGAAGAGGAAGCAAGUAUCCAGGGAAGAAGAAGAACAGAACAGUGGAGAUCAGAGGCAAGAGACCCAGAAUGAGGCCAGCUUGUGUUCUAGCCCUUGAUCCUGGACCUUUGCCACAGCCCCAUUUUGUUCCUGUUAUUUGACUGCACAAAACAUUCCUGUAUCUUUAUAAUA